GUGAAUCAUCAAAUUUUUGAACGCACAUUGCACUCUCCGGUUUUCCGGGAGAGUAUGCCUGUUUGGGGGUCAGACUAAAUAAAAUCGGCUUAGUAGGGUGCUGUGUUUGUCACGGUAAAGUUGGUCGGCAUUUGGGUCAUCUUAAACCGAAAGGGUUUUAAGCGACUUAAAAUUUUCUUACGAACUCGCGAACGUGUCUAAGAUUUUCUAGCACGGUCAAGGUAU
rnacentral:misc_RNA from 1 species